AGUUUCUCAUUGUUGCUAGUUGCAGUUGUCUCCUCCCUCCUACCCUUCCCUCCCCACAGCUCUAGCUCUUCCCUUGUCCCUCCCCAUUCCUGUAUCAUUUGCCCCACAACUCCUGAAAUUGCCUGAGCCUUUUGCUGGAGAUUGACUGUGCUGUCCAGUAGUAAAUGAUCUGAAAGUGGAGCAGGAUUGGAAUAUAGAUUCAUCAUCAUCAUCAAAACACAUCUCACUAAAGAAAGUGAUUCAAUGCAUAUUAUAUUUAACCUCUGUAUGGAAUGAAAACAUGCCCUUAAGGAACACAGAAUGUAAUCCAUGUGCACAAAUAACUAUUGAUAUAAGGGCAGAUGGGAAUGCUGAAAUCUAAGCCCCACAUGCAGUGAAAGAAGAGUAGAAUGGAGUAAGAAAGGAGAAUGAAAAGAAUAUAGGAUAUCUGUGUGCUGUUAUCUUCAAAGGAAAAAAAAUUUCAUGAGGAGGGAAUAUUUGAAAGCUCUCUGGCUCAGCUGGCUAUUCUAGUCACAGAGGAAAAGAAGAGACUUUCUGAAGUUCUGGAUGGAAUGAUAGAAGAUGUUUGGGGCAUAUUAAAAAAACAGCAGCAUGAACAGCUGCAAAACCCCAUAUAAUUCAAACAAGUUUCUUAGCUUUGUGGAAUCUGUGUCAGUUGCUUGGUACUUGAGAGUUUACUUCAGAGGAUGAUGGGACAAGGCAAUAAAAGGUGAGGAGGGUUGCAUUGCUGCUUCUUGCUUAUCUGUCUGCCUCUCCUUCCAGUUGGAAAAAACUUCAGUCCACAAGAAGCAUUACAAACAAGCCUAAGGAACACAUCCUACCCUGAUCUGGAUUCCACGGAGUUGAGGAUUACAGCCACUUCACCACGAUUUUAUGGAGGCAGUUCAAGAAAAAUAGAAUGAAGCGAUAAUUAAGGAUUUCUCUGUUAUUCCUGUGCCGUGUUAAAUUCUGGGCAUUGCUAGGAGUAAGUGGAAGACAGUUCUGUCAUGUGGAUCUGAGAGGAUAUCUGUGUUCCUUGAGCUACAUAUAUGAUAUUUGGAAAGUUGUAAACUCAAAAUUUUUCAACAUAAGUUCAUUAAGUUCUGGAUUCUCUUUCUAUUACGAACUUUAGUAGACAGAAACUCCCUCUCAAAAAGAUAAAAAACCUUCUCUACAUUUUCAGGCUAAAUGUGAAUAAUAAUGUCUUGGAAAAGAAAUUACUUUUCAGGGGGCCGUGGUAGUGUACAAGGGAUGUUUGCUCCUCGAAGCUCCACCUCCAUAGCCCCCAGCAAAGGCCUCAGCAAUGAGCCGGGGCAAAACAGCUGCUUCCUCAACAGUGCCCUGCAGGUUUUAUGGCACUUGGAUAUCUUCCGGCGUAGCUUUAGGCAGCUUACAACUCACAAGUGCAUGGGAGAUUCCUGCAUCUUUUGUGCUCUCAAGGCACUCUUCAUUUCAGCUAUGGUAGCAGAUGGUGCUCUUGUCAAGCCUACCGUUUAGACAUUGCAGAUGUCAUUCACUUUGAUACCCAAAACAAUAACAAACAAUAAAAAACACAACACAUCCAUCUUAAACCAAACCACAUUCACCUUUCAGAACUCCAAUUCAGAAAAUUAUCUUCAUGAAAUUUAAAAAAUACUAUCUCUAUCUAGAUCCAUGGUUGUUUGACUUAACAGUGGUUAGCAUGGCUGAAUGAGUUUUGGGAAGGUGACUUAGCUUUUCUUCCCUCUUGGUGUUCCUGACAGUGCCUGGAGCAUAAUAAAAACACUUACUUUUUCUGGGUUCAUAUAUUCUUUUAGUAGUUCUUGGAUUUUAGUUAAGUCCUUUUUCUUUUUCUUUUUGUCUUUUAUGCUCUCUCUCACUAGUGUCCUAUUUAAUCGAGAUUUUUCAUAUUGUGACUUUUGACCUCAUGCUUU